GUGUCAGCAGCCGCGGUAAUACGUAGGUGGCAAGCGUUGUCCGGAAUUACUGGGUGUAAAGGGAGCGCAGGCGGGCUUGCAAGUCAGCUGUGAAAUUCAAGGGCUUAACCCUUGACAUGCAGUUGAAACUACAGGUCUUGAGUGAAGUAGAGGUAGGCGGAAUUCCGAGUGUAGCGGUAAAAUGCGUAGAUAUUCGGAGGAACACCGGUGGCGAAGGCGGCCUACUGGGCUUUUACUGACGCUGAGGCUCGAAAGUGUGGGGAGCAAACAGGAUUAGAUACCCUGGUAGUCCACACCGUAAACGAUGAUUGCUAGGUGUGGGGGGUCUGACCCCCUCCGUGCCGCAGUUAACGCAAUAAGCAAUCCACCUGGGGAGUACGGCCGCAAGGCUAAAACUCAAAUAAAUUGACGG
rnacentral:rRNA from 1 species